rnacentral:rRNA from 1 species
CGUGAGUAACCUGCCUUGGAGAGGGGAAUAACACUCCGAAAGGAGUGCUAAUACCGCAUGAUGCAGUUGGGUCGCAUGGCUCUGACUGCCAAAGAUUUAUCGCUCUGAGAUGGCCUCGCGUCUGAUUAGCUAGUAGGCGGGGUAACGGCCCACCUAGGCGACGAUCAGUAGCCGGACUGAGAGGUUGACCGGCCACAUUGGGACUGAGACACGGCCCAGACUCCUACGGGAGGCAGCAUG